UAUAUAUACUGUGUGUGUGUAUAUAUAUAUAUAUAUAUUGUACAUAUACUAUUUAUGGAACCAUAUAAAAGCAUAAGGAAGAUUUCUCAAUUUCUCAAUCACAAUUUUUAAGGAAAACUCGAAUGUUGGCUUAUUUUUUAAAAAAUUUGAAUAAAAAAUAAGUCAUUACAGUUGCGGAAAAAAACUCAAAAACCUUGUGAGUUUACAAGUUCAAAAAAAAAAAAACUCAGAAAAAAAAGGUUUGAAUAUUGUCCUGGACAACUCCCUAUGACUUCUACAUGAACUUGCAAGCUUUUAAAGUUUUACAUAUGACUUUUUCAGUUUUCUUUUGUGCCUAAUAAACACCAAACAUUGCAGUUUUUGAAAAUAUGAUUAGAAUUUGUGAGUUUUUGUGCCAAAAAAAUAUCAAAUCAUGGCAAAAAUUCACAUUCAAAUGUUGAUAAAUCACCUCUCUGGUGUAUUAAACCAGGAAUGUAUUAAAACAGAUUUUUAUUUGCAAGUUAGGUAUUUGAAUUGGUUUUAAAACUGACCAGCAGGUGGCGAUGUUGUAACAGAAUUCAUCCAUAUUAACAGUACAUGUAUCCCUUAAUAUCUCGGAACAAAAAAGCAAUAGAUAUAAAUUUCAAUAGUGCUUAGAGUAACAUCAGUCCCAUCAAUUUUACAUUGACAUAUUUUAAAGGUUUACUUACCCUUUCAAGACUGCACUACAUAGGCCUUACCAGGGACCUAUAGUGGUGUAACGCUAUAGUAAAAUGGAGCUACCUUAAAACCAGUAACUUUACUAACAAUGUCCCAGAUGAGACUCUCUUUCACAGAUGUGGGCCCUUUCUUACAGUGGAGGCAGGGUGUUGAUGAACUAUACCAUUGAGAGUUCAGACAGUAAAUGGGCACCAGUGGUUCUUAAACUAACCCACAGACGUUUCACUAGUCAUCCAACUGGCUUUCUCAAUUAUGACUGACCUGUACAAAAAAUAUUUAGGGUUAUAUACCCUGAAAUGUCUACAGGAAACCAACCCACACAAACCAGUACCUUCUAUUUGAAUCCCACCAUCCACUGGAUCACAAAUGGGGUUUGCACUGAGCAGACCCAAUACCCACCAGCACAGAGGCUCAGGCAAAGAGUUGACUUUUGAAGAGGCAAAAGAGGGGCCCUUAAAAUGUGUGGACAUCCAGACUGGGACUUAAAAUUGGGAGAAGGAGGAAAAAACAACAACAAAACUACAGGCGAAGGUGGAAAGCAGGGCAAACAAAAUAACUUGGUCCUCCCAAAUAUUUCUGGGGUGUCUGAAAAACUUAGAAGCAUCUUUACAUUUUUUAAGCCCAGCAUCACACCGAACAGGGUUCAAAAAAUUUAAAAUAGUGGGAGGCACAUGGAAAGCAAUGAAUAAAGAAGAGGAGAAGAAAAGUAGAAAAUGAUGGUCAAUAAAGAAAAAUGGACUGGAGUCAUUGGUGUCACUAGACAAAGCAAGAAAAGGUUGUAGGAAUAAGGUUCUUGGUGCAUAGCCAGAUAAGUAGAAAAUCUCACCAGUUGAUACGUGGGGUCUGGGUGCACAUUCCCCACACCUACAGCUCAAGGUGGAGGUAUCAGACCAAGGAAAGAAAAUCAGACACUCACAGAUCUUUAGAAUUUCGUUUCAAUGGCAGCAAGAUUUGCCCUAUUUUUCCUUUUUGAACUUGAAGGCCACCAAACCUUGUGUUACAUGCUAUGGCUGCCAUUUUUGGCAAACUGAUUUGGAGAGGGGCUACCUACUGAGCUCUAUUGUUACUGAAGAGGAGCCAAUGAAAUCUUGU